UCGCCCAUUUUGGCACUAGCACAUUUUUGUUUCGUUUCUGGCUGUCAGCAAUCGUGUGCAGUGCCAAUCUAGGACA
rnacentral:pre_miRNA from 13 species